UGAGUAAUGUCUGGGAAACUGCCUGAUGGAGGGGGAUAACUACUGGAAACGGUAGCUAAUACCGCAUAACGUCGCAAGACCAAAGAGGGGGACCUUCGGGCCUCUUGCCAUCAGAUGUGCCCAGGUGGGAUUAGCUAGUAGGUGGGGUAAUGGCUCACCUAGGCGACGAUCCCUAGCUGGUCUGAGAGGAUGACCAGCCACACUGGAACUGAGACACGGUCCAGACUCCUACGGGAGGCAGCAGUGGGGAAUAUUGCACAAUGGGCGCAAGCCUGAUGCAGCCAUGCCGCGUGUGUGAAGAAGGCCUUCGGGUUGUAAAGCACUUUCAGCGAGGAGGAAGGUGGUGAGCUUAAUACGCUCAUCAAUUGACGUUACUCGCAGAAGAAGCACCGGCUAACUCCGUGCCAGCAGCCGCGGUAAUACGGAGGGUGCAAGCGUUAAUCGGAAUUACUGGGCGUAAAGCGCACGCAGGCGGUUUGUUAAGUCAGAUGUGAAAUCCCCGGG
rnacentral:rRNA from 1 species